rnacentral:rRNA from 1 species
GCCCACAAUCUAGCCCCCCCCCCCCUUUUUUUUCCUCACCAUCACACUCCGCCAAUAAAACAUUUUACCAUCAUAGUAAAGGCGAUUAAAAGAACAUAGAGCUUUAUAAUUAGUCCGCAAGGGAAAGAUGAAAUAAAAUGAAAUACCUUUAAGCAUAGCACAGUAAAGAUCAAAUCUUGUACCUUUUGCAUCAUGGUCUUACAAGUCUAACCAACGAAAUGAAUUUAAGUUUGGCUCCCCGAAACUAAGCGAGCUACUUCAAAACAACUUAAUGAGUAAACCCGUCUCUGUUGCAAAAGAGUGGGAAGAUUUUCAAGUAGAGGUGACAAGCCUACCGAGCUUAGAGAUAGCUGGUUAUUCAGAAAAAGGAUAUUAGUCCUACCUAAAAUCUUUUUAAUAACAUUAAUACCCCUAUAGAUUUUAGAGCUAUUCAAAUAAGGUACAGCUUAUUUGAAACAGGAUACAACCUACACAAUAGGGUAAUGAACCAAAACAUAAUAAAGUGGGCCUAAAAGCAGCCACCUUUAAUAACGCGUUAAAGCGAUGUUAUAUAAAUCCUAUAAUUCCACACCCCCCCACAAAACCCCUCACUAAUACUGAAUGACUCCAUAUUAAUAUGGAAGACCUUAUGUUAGAACUAGUAAUAAGAAAAAGAAUUUCUCCGACAUAAUAAGUGUAAACCGGAAUGAACAAAUCACCGGUACUUAUCAUCAAUGAACCCCGAGUAGUAACUUCAACAAGAAAAACCUACUAAUCAACAAUGUUAACCUUACACUAGAAUUAAACUGGAAAGAUAAAAAAAUGAGGAAGGAACUCGGCAAAUUACAACCCCGCCUGUUUACCAAAAACAUCGCCUCUUGAAAACACAUAGGAGGUCCAGCCUGCCCAAUGACUAAGUUAAACGGCCGCGGUACCCUAACCGUGCGAAGGUAGCACAAUCACUUGUUCUCUAAAUAAGGACCGGUAUGAACGGCAUCACGAGGGUUAUACUGUCUCCCUAAUUUUAUCAAUGAAACUAAUCUCUUCGUGAAGAAGCGAAGAUAGACCUAUAAGACGAGAAGACCCCAUGGAGCUUCAAACUAAGUAUCACUUGAACACUAUUAACCAUAAAAACCUAACAAAUCUGACUACUAGUUUUCGGUUGGGGUGACCGCGGAGUAGAAAAAAACCUCCACGACGAAAGGAACAAAACUCCUAAUCUAAGAGCUACAACUCAUAGAAUCAACAUAUUGACCUAAAUUGAUCCAAUAAUUUUGAACAACGAACUAAGUUACCCUGGGGAUAACAGCGCAAUCCAUUUCAAGAGCUCAUAUCGACAAAUGGGUUUACGACCUCGAUGUUGGAUCAGGGUAUCCUAGCGGUGCAACCGCUGCUAAAGGUUCGUUUGUUCAACGAUUAAAACCCUACGUGAU